UACGGGAGGCAGCAGUGAGGAAUAUUGGUCAAUGGCCGAGAGGCUGAACCAGCCAUGCCGCGUGCGGGAGGACGGCCCUAUGGGUUGUAAACCGCUUUUGUUGGGGAGCAAUAAGGGUCACGUGUGGCCCGAUGAGAGUACCCAGCGAAUAAGCAUCGGCUAACUCCGUGCCAGCAGCCGCGGUAAU
rnacentral:rRNA from 1 species